rnacentral:rRNA from 1 species
AGAGUUUGAUCCUGGCUCAGAACGAACGCUGGCGGCAUGCCUAACACAUGCAAGUCGAACGAACCCUUCGGGGUUAGUGGCGCACGGGUGCGUAACGCGUGGGAACCUGCCUUUAGGUUCGGAAUAACUCGAAGAAAUUUGAGCUAAUACCGGAUAAUGUCUUCGGACCAAAGAUUUAUCGCCUUUAGAUGGUCCCGCGUUAGAUUAGAUAGUUGGUGGGGUAACGGCCUACCAAGUCGACGAUCUAUAGCUGGUCUGAGAGGAUGAUCAGCCACACUGGGACUGAGACACGGCCCAGACUCCUACGGGAGGCAGCAGUGGGGAGUAUUGGACAAUGGGCGAAAGCCUGAUCCAGCAAUGCCGCGUGAGUGAUGAAGGCCUUAGGGUUGUAAAGCUCUUUUACCCGGGAUGAUAAUGACAGUACCGGGAGAAUAAGCUCCGGCUAACUCCGUGCCCGCAGCCGCGGUAAUACGGAGGGAGCUAGCGUUGUUCGGAAUUACUGGGCGUAAAGCGCGCGUAGGCGGCUAUUUAAGUCAGGGGUGAAAUCCCGGGGCUCAACCCCGGAACUGCCCUUGAAACUGGAUGGCUAGAAUCCUGGAGAGGCGAGUGGAAUUCCGAGUGUAGAGGUGAAAUUCGUAGAUAUUCGGAAGAACACCAGUGGCGAAGGCGACUCGCUGGACAGGUAUUGACGCUGA